rnacentral:rRNA from 1 species
GACGAACGCUGGCGGCGUGCCUAAUACAUGCAAGUAGAACGCUGAAGGAGGAGCUUGCUCUUCUGGAUGAGUUGCGAACGGGUGAGUAACGCGUAGGUAACCUGCCUGGUAGCGGGGGAUAACUAUUGGAAACGAUAGCUAAUACCGCAUAAUAGUAGAUGUUGCAUGACAUUUACUUGAAAGGUGCAAUUGCAUCACUACCAGAUGGACCUGCGUUGUAUUAGCUAGUUGGUGGGGUAACGGCUCACCAAGGCGACGACACAUAGCCGACCUGAGAGGGUGAUCGGCCACACUGGGACUGAGACACGGCCCAGACUCCUACGGGAGGCAGCAGUAGGGAAUCUUCGGCAAUGGACGGAAGUCUGACCGAGCAACGCCGCGUGAGUGAAGAAGGUUUUCGGAUUGUAAAGCUCUGUUGUAAGAGAAGAACGAGUGUGAGAGUGGAAAGUUC